rnacentral:sRNA from 1 species
UCUCGGGAGCUUUCCCCGGGC